CCUAAUUCCUUUCCUUGGAGACUUUGAGAACCUUCUCCAUUGUUGCCAUUUUCAUCUCUAACACCCUUUCUCAAGUUGGAGAGGGAUGAAAGUACUCCCAACUUGCCCAAUAAUCGGUGAUGAAAAGGGCCAGUAAGAGGCUUUGUGAAAAAAUCAGCGAGCUAAGAAGAGGAGCGAACAAAUGAUAGUAAAAUCAAACUUGCCAUGAACUGCUGAUGAACGAAACGAAAACCAAGCUUUGCAUGCUUUGUUCUUUCAUGAAAGACAGAGUCUUUUAGCUAUGUGAAUCGCCGCUUGGCUGUCAGAGUGAAGAGGGACCGGGAGGGAUAUUGGAAUAGAUAAAUCAUCAAAGAGUCUGACUAACCAGGUAAGCUCUGCGACUACACGCCGCAUGGAUCGAUACUCAGCUUCUGCAGAGCUUAGAGAAAUUGUGGUCUACUUCUUCAAUUUCCAAGAAAUAGGAGAAAAUCCCAGCGAAAUGUAGAAACCACUGACAGAUUUGUGCGAUUCUGAGCAUGUGCUCCAAUCGGAGUCACAGAAAGCCAGCAACUGAUACGAAGGGGAGGAAGUCAUGAAUAAACCAAGACCAAGAUCCUUUGAUGAAUAUCGAAGGACACGAAGGGCUGCUUGCAUGUGAGGAACUCUUUGAACCUGCAUAUAUUGGCUUAGAUGUUGUACAGUGAAGGAAAGAUCCGGCCUUGUAUGAGUUAAAUAGUUCAGCUUUCCCAACAAAUGGCGAUACAAGGUCGGGUCUUAGAUAGGAGCACCAGUUUUGGCCAACAAUUUGAUAAUGGGAUCAAGUGGACAAGAAACGGAUGGCUUGUGAGUACAAUAAAAUUCCAGCAACAAAUCAACACUGAAUUUCCGCUGAGUAAGAAUUAGUCCCUUAGAUUCACGCAGUACCUCCAUUCCAAGAAAAUAAUGUAAGUUCCCUAAAUCCUUUAUUUUGAAUUCCUGAUGUAGAAAAACUUUCAAAGCAUGUAGCUCCUCUAAAUUAUUUCCUGUCAAGAGUAUAUCAUCGACAUAGACUGCCACUAUAGAGAAAGAGGAGUCAGACCUUUUAAAGAAUAGGAAAUAAUCAUUGAGAUAAUGGGAGAAACCUUUAAAAUUAAGAGUUGCUGUUAAUUUAGCAUACCACUGCCGGGAUGCUUGACGAAGCCCAUAUAGUGACUUAUUUUACUUGCAAACGUGUGUAGGAGGAGGAGGAGAGAAACCAAUUGGAAACUUCAUGUACACCUCUUCAUUCAAAUCCCCAUGCAGAAAUGUAUUAUUCACAUCUAACUAAAAAAUUCCCAACCUUUCUUAACUGCUGUAUCUAGAAUGCAUUUGAUGGUGGUCAUUUUUACCACUGGGGAAAAUGUUUCAUUGAAGUCUAUCCCUUCUUUUUGAAUAUCCCCUCUAACUACACGUCUAGCUUUGAGACUUUCCACACUUCCAUCAGAGUUAUGCUUUACUUUAUACACCCACUUGCACGGUAAUGCCUUUCUACCAGGAGGUAAUUCCAUGACCUCCAAGGUGUGAUUGAGCUCAAGUGCCUCUAUCUCUCUUUCUAUUGCUUCCUGCCAUCCUGGGUGAUGGGCUGCUUGGGUAUAACUGGUUGGUUCUUGGAUAGCGGAUAGGGAAUUUAGGAGAUUUUGUUUGGAUGUAGAUAGGUUAUUGAAUGGAAAACUAGAAGGUGUUACAGGUGACAGGAAACAAGAACCACUUACAUCAGUCAAUUGAAUAUCAUUGCAAAUGUAGUCCUUGAGGUAAGGGGGAGGGUUGUGUGGCCUUGAGAAUUUUCUAAUAAGAUUGUCCAACAUGGGUUCAGUAGCUGAAGGUGAAGCAGUAUGAAUGAGAGAGUGAGAGACAAAAGAAGAAGAUGGUGUAGGACUGGAAGGUGGAAAAUCAGGAAAGUCUUGCACAGGAUGAUCUUCAUUAGGCAGUUCUGAAUGUUCAGUAGUAGGUUGUGGUAAAUCAAGGGAGAAGGUAUGAGAACUGGACAUUAGUGAAGUAGGUAAAAACGAGUCAGUUGACCCCUUGGAUGUGAUGAGGAAAAAGGGAAGAAUUCUUCAGGAAAAAUAACAUUCCUAGAAACAAAAGGCUUUAGAGUGCUAAGAUUGAGAACCGUGUACCCAUUCUUUCCAUGUGGAUAACCUAAGAAACACAAGGCAUAGCCCUUAGUUGGAAUUUUGUUUUGUGACUUGAGAGAGUAGAAACAAAACACAGACACCCAAAACACCUCAAAUUAAAGUAACUAGGUUUGGAUUUAAAAAGAUCCUCAUAGGGUUUUUUUGUAAGAAAGAACUUUGGAAGGAAAACUAUUGUCAAGUAUGUAGCAGUUAGAACGCAAUCCCCGCAAUAAGCAAUAGGCAAUUUUGAUUGGAAGAGAAGGGCUCGAGAUGUCUCUAAAGGUGUUUAUGUUUCCUCUCCACAACCCCAUUUUGUUGUGGAGAAGCUACACAAGUAGUCUGAUGCAUAAUUCCAUGUGAAGAAAACUAAUUAGACUGCAGACUCCCACUCCCUAAUUCAAAAGCAUUGUCUGACCUUAUUGUCUUGACCUGGGUAUUGAAUUGUCUUUCCACCAUUGCUAAAAAUGACUUAAGAAUUAGGAAUGCAUUUGAUUUUGUACUUAGUAGAUAAGUCCAUGUUCCUCUACUGUAGUCAUCAAGAAUUGUAAAAAAAUAUUUGUAACCAUCAUAGUUUGGCUGCUAUAGGGAUCCCAUGGGUCUAUGUGAAUUAAUGCAAAAAAUUUCUUUGUGGAAAUAGAACUAAUGGGAAAAGGGAGUUUGGACUAUCUAGCCAUAGGAUAAACAACACAAGGCACAGAAAACUUUGAACAAGGUGAAAUAGGAAUAAUAGAUAUAUUUCUCAUGGAACAAAUUGUUUGUCAUUGAAACUCUUUCUAGAUACAAAACUACUAUUGGAAAGUAAAAAACUCUUGGGAAUGGCAGUUGUAGGCCUUGAUUGAAGAAUGUAGAGACCACUUCUCUCCUUGCCAAUCUCCAGAGGGCUCUUCAAAGAAUGGCCUGCAAAAAACAAGAAGUAGAAGUAAAAAAGAGUGGAUUACUAAGCUGCUUACAUAAUUUGUGCACAGAUAGAAGAUUGUACUUAACAGAAGGUAUAUGCAACACAUUGUGUACUACCAGAUUAGAGAAAAGAGCUACUGAUCCAUAAUGAGUUACUAAAACUUUCUGAGAAUUAGGAAGAUUGAUUAUUCUACGCUUGAAUAAAGGCUUGAGAUUAGGAAAAAAAUUCUUAUUAUAAGACAUAUGUUCUGAAGCACCACUAUCUAGUAUCCAUGAAUGACUGUUGAAUUGAAAGAAACAUGCAGGUGACUUAAAGAAUUUGGGUGUACCAGCACAGUUUGCACUUGCAGUACCAUCAGAAGUACUUCCUCUUUGCUGUCCAUCUUCAACUGUUGAAAAAAGCUGAAGUAGCUGAGUUACAUUCUCCUGGUAAGUGAUUUUCCUUCAGUGAUUCCAAAUACCUAUUCUCCUUCUUCAUUUGAUAUUAGAGCAUUGUUUGCCUGGGCUGGUCCCUAAAAUUUCCUUGGCUUUGUGAAUUUGAAAUCUGCAGGAAAACCAUGGAUCCUAUAGCACUUAUCAAUGAUAUGUCCUGGCUUCUUGCAGUAAGCACAAAUCCCUGAACUCUUCUUUGCAUCAUAGGACCCCUUCUGUCCUUUGGAAUCACCAUAUUUCUUCACAUCUGCUUGGUUUAUUACCAUGAAGGAACUAGACUCCCCUGGGUAGGCAGGUACAAUAUGAAUUUCUCUUUGUUUUUCAUCUUGUAUUACCAAAGAGUAUGCCUUACCAAUGGAAUAUAAAGGAGAUGACAACAAUAUGUUUCUCCUAACUCCUAUGAAGGUUUCAUUCAUACCUAUAAGGAAUUUCAAAAGUCUCUCAUCUUGAUGAGCAUUGAUGCUCUUUGCCUUAGCCCCACAAUCACACUCACACACACAAGUACAAAAGGUAUUGAGUGCAUCUAGCUCAUCCCAUAAUCCUUUCAUCUUAGUAAAAUAGGUUGAAACACUCGAGUUACCUUGCACCACAACACUUAGUUCUUUUUGUAGCUGAAAUAACUUGGCUCCACUUGCCUGACCAAACCAAUCUUCCAGAUCAUGCCAUAGAUCUUUUGCACUCUCUGAGUACAAGACACUCUCAGCAAUUUCUUUGGAAAGUGAGAGGAGAAGCCAAGAAAGGACCAUGUCGUUGCAUCUUGCCCAAGCUCUUUGAAGACCAGAAUUUGCGUCUGGAAUAUCUAGGGUUCCAUCAAUGAAUCCUAGGUUGUUCUUAGCGGAUAAAGCUAUGACUAAGGCACUCCUCCACCCACCAUAUCCUCUGCCAUCAAAUACUGAGGAGACCGGUUCGUUCUUGGGUAGUCUGAAGGAUGGAGGUAAUAGGGACGAGUUGAAUCAACUAAACCAAUACCACUAGAACCAGCAGAUACAUUAGUUGUUGGAAUAGGGGGAGAGGAUCUGUAAAAGAAGAAGAUGAAUUUGAAUAAUAAAGAAAUGUGGCUUAAAGCAGAUCAACACUGCUCUGAUACCAUGAAGGAAUAGGAAUAAAAUAGAUUGAGAAAAUUAUCUUUUCUGCAUUGAAUGAAUCAAUAGUGUUGUACAGAACAUUGUUUAUAUACAACAGGGAUGGAAUCUAAAAUAACUACUUAUGCUACGUGUCUCUAAUUUAUUAGCUAAGCUAUAACAAACUAAAGUGUGAUGACCCGGCCGGUCGUCUUUUUAUGCCCCGUUUCCCUAUUAACUGCUUCCUCUAAGUUCAUUUAUACUAUUUUGGUUUGUCGAGAUGUUCGGUAAUAGAAUUCGGAGUGUUUUGGGACACUUAGUCCCUAAGUGAGAGCUUAAGUGUUAAAAAUGGUCCAUAAUUAUAACGGUGUGAAGACGACCUCGAAAUGGAAAUUCAAUGGUUCCGUUAUCUCUGUUAGGUGAUUUCGGGGUUGGGAGCAUGUUUGGAAUGUAUUUUGGAUGUCCGUAGCUCAUUUAGGCUAGAAAUGCCGAAAGUUAAAAUUUUGAUGUUUCCAGUCCGAUAGUGAAUUUUUGAUUUGAGGGUUUGAACGGGAUUCUGGAAGUUUCUGUAGCACCGUCAUGUCAAUCGAACGUGUAUUGGUUAGGUUUUGAAUCGAAAGCGAGUUUUGUUAAGUUUUGAAGUUUUUAAGUUCGAAUUAUUGAUUAAUUCGAGUUUCUGGCGUUGUUGUAGGUAGCUUAAGGAUUGGGAAAAGUUUGAAUGAUGUUAUGGGAUAUGUCUGUAGGUUUGGUUGAGGUCCCGGGGGCCUCGGGUGUGUUUCGGAUGCUCAACGGAGCAUUUUUGGAGUAGAAAACAUUGCAGAAUUCUUCAGCUGUUGCAUGUCUUUUUUUCCUUCGCGAUCGCGUCCCAUUUCACGCGGCCGCAUAGGCCAAUCUGGUAGGGUCCGAAAUUCCUUAAUCGCGAUCGCAGGGAUUGGUUUGCAAUCGCGUAACUCUACCUCUCCCCUAUUCGCGUUCGCGUGCCUUCUUACGCGAUUGCGUAAGGCCAUCUCUUUCCCGUCCGCGAUCGCAUGCUCCUUCUCAUGAUCGCAUAGGGCUCUUUCCUGGAGCCUUUAUUUUGAUCUUCGCGAUCGCGUCCCUAUCUUCGCGAUUGCGAUUCACUAAAUACCUGGGUAAAUAUUAAUAUUUCAAUAACUAAGCCUUCUUCCAUUUUUACAAAAACUCAAGCUAGAGAGCUCGGUCUUGGGAGAUUUUUUGAGGGAUUUUCAGAGGCAAAUAUUGGGUAAUGAUUCCUUACUCCUCUAUGACUAAAACCCACUAAUCUAAUCGUAAUUUCAACCUUUAAUUUCGGAUUUUUGAAUGAAAAUUGGGGUAAAGUUCUUAGAUCUAAUUGUGAGGAUUUGAUGGGUUAUUUGACCUCCAAUUUGGGAGAUUUUUAUAUGGUUAGACUCGUGAGAGUACGAGGUUUAUGAAAAUAUGAAAAUUAUUCGAUUCCGAGACAUUGACCUGAGGAGCAUUUUGAUUAUUUUACCUAUUCUCGCGCCUUAGCUUUAAUUUAAUUGAGACGUUGGCUGUAGGGAAAAUNNNNNNNNNNNNUUGAUCAAGACAAUGUUUCUGAAAAUGUGAAAAUUAUUCAAUUUUGAGACGUUGGCUGUAGGGAAAAUUUGGUCAUUUCACAUAUUUUCGCGCCUUAGCUUUAAUUUUAACAGUGUAAUUAGUUGUUACUUGUGAUGUUAUUUACAAUAUGUAAUUGGUUUGAAUAGAUUUGGGCCACUCGGAGUCUGAUAUUCAUGGCAAAGGCAUUGUUUGUUAGCAAUUUUGUACCGGUUCGAGGUAAGUGGCUUGUCUAACUUUUUGUGGGGAACUCUCCCCUUAGGAUGCUGUUGUUUAAAUGCCUUGUGUGCGAGGUGACGGGCGCGUACUUGUACUAGUUGUUGAAAAUUCACCUUACUUGGCUUAUUUAGACUGUGUUUCUCCGUAUAUUUAGCUGUUAAAAUGCAAUUUCACUUGUUUUAUCUUAGGAAAAGCAUGUUAGUAAUUUAUUUGCUCUAUUUGACUAAAUUGCAAUAUCUGUCCUUUUUGUAAGGAUGCUAGGCUCUAGAUCUUUACAUGUUGUUGUACUUGGCUUCUUUCUAUUAAAUAUUGAAUUGUUUGUGAUAUGUUUACGAUUGGGACUACGAGUUCAAUUCCCCGGAGAUCCCCCUAUUACUUAUAUGAUAGACUACGGUUUAAAUUCCUGGCAUAUUCUCUGUUAUUGAUAUGAUGGACUACGAGUUCAAUUCCUGAUAGAUCCCAUGCUGUUUAUAUGAUGGACUACAGGUUCAAUUCCCGGUAGAUCCUCUGUUAUUGACAGGAUGGACUACGGGUUAGAUUCUCGGUAGAUCUCCUAUUAUUGAUAUGAUAGACUAAGGGUCCAAUUCACGGUAGAUCCUCUAUUAUUGAUGUGAUGGACUGCGGAUUCAAUUCCCGGGAGAUCCUCUGAUGUUAGUAUGAUGGAUUGCAGGUUCGAUUCCCGGAAGAUCCUCAGAUAUUGGUAAGAAUGGACUGCAGGUUCGAUUCCCAGAGCUCCAUGCGGCCUCCUGACUUUUGAGUGAUUGUUCUUGUAUUCGUAGAUUCUAUUUGUAGCCUGUUCUGUUCUAUUUAUUGUCUUGCUAGAUACUUGAGAUUUACUGCAUUUCAUACUAUCAUUUUAUCUUAUACUCAUUCUUAUGUUCAUAUCAGUAGGGCCUCGACCUUCCUCGUCACUACUCCACCGAGGUUAGGCUUGGCACUUACUAAGUACCACUGUGGUUUACUCAUGUUACUCUUCUGCACACUUUUGCUAUGCAAAUCCAGGUACUACUGGUUGGACGCGCUAUUAGGGAUUUUGGAGCUACAUUUGGAGGCUCUAGGUAUGCAUCUGUCGCGUCCAUUGAUCCGAAGAAUUUUGCUAUGCAGAUCUUGGUGCUUCUGGUCGAGCGCGCUAUCAGUGAUUUCAGAGUUACACUUGGAGACUUGAGAUAUACAUCUGCCGCGUCCGUAGAUCCGAAGAAUCUCCUUCUAUUCUACCUUUUAGUUAGCAGUUUCAUUCAUGUAUUCAAUUGUUGUAGACACUUCUGGAUGUCAGAUUCGUGUGUUAUGUUUUUACUCUUAGCCUGUGUUGCCCGUAGAUUUCCGGGUCUUGGAGGUUGUUACAUUGUUUGAGUUGAAGUGUAUGUGUCGGGCGGCACACCAUACAUUUUCUUAUGUUAUUCAGUAUUGUUUAUCAUUUUCGUAAAAGUUGUUGAAUUUCCGCAAUGUGUCAGGCUUACCUAGUCGCGAAAACUGGGUGCAGUCAUGACGGGUUUACGAUUUGUGAACUAGGUUCAUGACAAGUUGGUAUCAGAGCUCUAGGAUCAUAUGAGUCAUGAGACACAUGCCGGUUAUUUAGAGUCUUGCUGAUCGGUACAGAGACGUCUGUACUUAUCUACGGGAGGCUACGUAACUAUUUAGGAAAAUCUUCACUUCAUUUGAAUUCUUGUCGUGCUAUGUUUUUGACCUCGAUUCUAAACUUCUGUCUUC
rnacentral:lncRNA from 1 species